AUGGCGGACAUCGCGAUGCUGGUGGCGGAGGAGCACGAGAAGAGGCUCAAGCGAGGGGCGCCCCGCGUCGCCGCCGACGAGGAGGCGUCCAAGGGCAAGGUGAACUUCGGGGCGGUGACCAAGGUGUGGGGCUCCUGGGCCGAGUCCGCCGCCGCCGCCGCGUCCGGGGUCAAGGUGCACGUCGCGGUGCUCGUCAGGUCCGACCUGGUGGCGGCCGAGCCCAGGAGCCCGGUCGCCCGGGCAGCCUUCGACGGCUUCUUCUCUGCUUGA
rnacentral:rRNA from 1 species